ensembl:misc_RNA Metazoa_SRP Metazoan signal recognition particle RNA
AUACCAGACACAACAGCAUCUUCUAUCACAAUAAGGAGAAUCCUUGAGACUAGGAGGGCUGCAGUGUGCUAAACCAGUCAGAUGUCUGCACUAAGUUCAGAAUCAACAUGGUGACUUCCUGAGGGCAGGGGACAACCAGGUUACCUUGGUAGGGGUGAACAGGCCCAGGUUGGAAAGAAAGUAGGUCAAAACUUUCAUGCUGAUGAGUUAGUGCAAUCGUGCCUGUGAACAGCCAUUGCACUCAGCUUGGGCAACAUAGCAAGACCUGUUUUUU